AAAGUUUGUAACUUUUCCACUGAUUUUGAUCUCUGUAUCUGCAUAGCCACUUGGAAGAUGAAUGGCCAAAGAAAAAUCUCAUUUUUAGUGUUUCUUCCAGAGAGAAACAAAGGGCGCAAGUGCCUUUCUUCCCAAAUGGCAACUGUAGCAGAGGUACCCUUUCUCCUCCAUGGGGUCGAAAUAGUGCUUCCACCACCUUCCUCGGUGAAUCCGGUCUUCAUCGUCAGCAGCGAAACGACCGAUUCUUUGGUAUUUGAAUCUAAGCAUUAAAUAAAAAUUUUCAACUUUCGCAGGCAUGAGAUAGUUGUAUAC
rnacentral:lncRNA from 1 species